AGAGUUUGAUCCUGGCUCAGGACGAACGCUGGCGGCGCGCCUAACACAUGCAAGUCGAACGAGAGAUGAGGAGCUUGCUCUUCAAAUCGAGUGGCGAACGGGUGAGUAACGCGUGAGGAACCUGCCUCAAAGAGGGGGACAACAGUUGGAAACGACUGCUAAUACCGCAUAAGCCCACGGCUCGGCAUCGAGCAGAGGGAAAAGGAGCAAUCCGCUUUGAGAUGGCCUCGCGUCCGAUUAGCUAGUUGGUGAGGUAACGGCCCACCAAGGCGACGAUCGGUAGCCGGACUGAGAGGUUGAACGGCCACAUUGGGACUGAGACACGGCCCAGACUCCUACGGGAGGCAGCAGUGGGGAAUAUUGCACAAUGGGGGAAACCCUGAUGCAGCGACGCCGCGUGGAGGAAGAAGGUCUUCGGAUUGUAAACUCCUGUUGUUGAGGAAGAUAAUGACGGUACUCAACAAGGAAGUGACGGCUAACUACGUGCCAGCAGCCGCGGUAAAACGUAGGUCACAAGCGUUGUCCGGAAUUACUGGGUGUAAAGGGAGCGCAGGCGGGAAGACAAGUUGGAAGUGAAAUCUAUGGGCUCAACCCAUAAACUGCUUUCAAAACUGUUUUUCUUGAGUAGUGCAGAGGUAGGCGGAAUUCCCGGUGUAGCGGUGGAAUGCGUAGAUAUCGGGAGGAACACCAGUGGCGAAGGCGGCCUACUGGGCACCAACUGACGCUGAGGCUCGAAAGCAUGGGUAGCAAACAGGAUUAGAUACCCUGGUAGUCCAUGCCGUAAACGAUGAUUACUAGGUGUGGGAGGAUUGACCCCUUCCGUGCCGCAGUUAACACAAUAAGUAAUCCACCUGGGGAGUACGACCGCAAGGUUGAAACUCAAAGGAAUUGACGGGGGCCCGCACAAGCAGUGGAGUAUGUGGUUUAAUUCGACGCAACGCGAAGAACCUUACCAAGUCUUGACAUCCUGCGACGCACAUAGAAAUAUGUGUUUCCUUCGGGACGCAGAGACAGGUGGUGCAUGGUUGUCGUCAGCUCGUGUCGUGAGAUGUUGGGUUAAG
rnacentral:rRNA from 1 species